UACGUAGGGGGCAAGCGUUGGUCCGGAUUUAUUGGGCGUAAAGAGCGUGUAGGCGGCUUUACAGGUCCGUUGUGAAAACUCGAGGCUCAACCUCGAGACGCCGGUGGAAACCGUAAAGCUAGAGUCCGGAAGAGGAGAGUGGAAUUCCUGGUGUAGCGGUGAAAUGCGCAGAUAUCAGGAAGAACACCUAUGGCGAAGGCAGCACUCUGGGACGGUACUGACGGCUGAGACGCGAAAGCGUGGGGAGCGAACAGG
rnacentral:rRNA from 1 species